AUUGAACGCUGGCGGCAUGCCUUACACAUGCAAGUCGAACGGCAGCAUGAUCUAGCUUGCUAGAUUGAUGGCGAGUGGCGAACGGGUGAGUAAUACAUCGGAACGUGCCCUGUAGUGGGGGAUAACUAGUCGAAAGAUUAGCUAAUACCGCAUACGACCUGAGGGUGAAAGUGGGGGACCGCAAGGCCUCAUGCUAUAGGAGCGGCCGAUGUCUAAUUAGCUAGUUGGUGAGGUAAAGGCUCACCAAGGCGACGAUCAGUAGCUGGUCUGAGAGGACGAUCAGCCACACUGGGACUGAGACACGGCCCAGACUCCUACGGGAGGCAGCAGUGGGGAAUUUUGGACAAUGGGCGAAAGCCUGAUCCAGCAAUGCCGCGUGUGUGAAGAAGGCCUUCGGGUUGUAAAGCACUUUUGUCCGGAAAGAAAUGGCUCUGGUUAAUACCUGGGGUCGAUGACGGUACCGGAAGAAUAAGGACCGGCUAACUACGUG
rnacentral:rRNA from 1 species